CAUUGUACCUGAUGCCUCUGUGCGGAAGGCAAUGAAUGAGAUUAAUGCAGGUAAUCUGCGUUUUCUGCUUUCUGAUUCUUUUUACUCACCCAGGCAGGUUUUUCUCUUCUCUAAUUUUCAAAUAUGGUUGAUUGAAAAUGGUCACUACGAAUAUUUUUGUAAGGAGAAAGAGAUUCGUGAGCAUAGCAUGUUAUGUUGUCAAAGUUCUUAGUCCUUACUGCACACACACAGUUAAGUAUUUAUCCACAUGUGCGAUGAAGAAAGUACAUGACAAAUUAUAGUCCUCUAUUAUGUUGGAUGGCCAUCACUGUUUCAUACGCAACACCAAAUAAAUAGUUCAAAAGGACAGUAUAAAUCAUUUGUGGGCACCAUUGUUAUUAAAGGCGCGCCUCAGGCUCAAGGCUCACCAGAUUCGAACCCUAG
rnacentral:misc_RNA from 1 species